AUGAAGGGAGACCACCAGAGGCAGCUUGGCGGCCAUGAAGAGCGGUUGAAAGAUCAGAUGAGAGAUGAACAUCGAGCCUCGGAUGGCAAUUUUUUCAAAUUCUUGCAAAACCAGUCAAGCACAAAAAAAGAGGCUCAAGAAGACAAGAUUGCAUCCACGAGGGCAGAGAUGGGCGAAGUGAGAAAAGAGAACGAGAGGCUGAAGACGAUGCUGUCACGGAUGGUGGAGGACCAUCGAUCCCUUCAGAAGCAGUUGGAUGUUCUCCACCAGCAAGGGCGGGGCAAGAACCUCGCUGUGGGCUCACCGGCGCACACAUCGCCUUCCAACGACGUCAAGGAGCCCGGGUUCGCCUCUUUGCGCCUCGGAACGAGUGCCGGCACGAGCAGGCAGAACAUGGGAGAAAAGAUAAAGAGAGGCACUAAUAAUCCAGAAAGCAGAGACAUGUCUCUUGAACUAUCACCAGGCUGCAAAGCUGUUGGUGUAGCCGGUCAAAGUGAGACGAAGGUGCAUCGGGAUGCGCUGACGUUGAGCCCUGGAGGCAGCUCCGAGGAGGAGGCCGUGGAGACGACGACAACGUCAGCCGCAGCGAGCAAAAUGGUGAAGAACCCGAGAAGCACCGGCAGUGGUGUGGAGGCGGAGGACGAAGUGGCCCAGCAGCCACUGGCCAAGAAGGCCAGGGUGUCUGUGAGGGCUAGGUGUGACACGCCAACGAUGAAUGAUGGAUGCUAG
rnacentral:rRNA from 1 species